rnacentral:lncRNA from 1 species
AUACCUUGAAAGCCUUUCUACUAAAAGUCUCAUCUUUGAAUUUGUCUCUAGGUGCCUAUGUGGAUAGGAAAGGGGCCAAAGAAUGAGAGGCAAGCGUGAAGCAAGUGAGGCGAGUGUGCACCCACAAGCAAAGAACCUCCAGGGUCCAUGUGAAAAUGUCCUUUAAACUAAGGGAAGCUCACACUGGCUCUGAGUUUGUGUGCCUGUGCUUACAAGUGUAUAUAUCAGCAGCUGCAUUUGGAAUGAAGACAGGAAACACAAAAAAGAAAGCCCUGGAGACAAAAGUACUUGCAAUCGAGGUUCAAGAUAGAUGUAAGAUGUGGCUACUUCGGUACCAUUAAAGUUUUAUCUUUGCUACGUUACAAACAGUCACACGGGAAUUCAGCCACUUAUUGCUUAUUUUCCUAAUUAGUGAUCUCAAUUAGUGGAGUUCCAUUUCCCCAGUUUAAGUGCUGUGCUGUGUUGGAGGUUUCCCUGAGCCUGGCCAUCCUGUAGCAUAAGGAGCCCCACUAGCAGUUGGCAUGGAGAGGCAUAAAGGGAGUUGGAGACACCAACUGUGUUCUACUUGGGAAGCUGAUGGGCUCCCAGGCUCACUGCAAAACCAACAAAGCUGUUCUACCUUGGUCUGUUUCUUAGGAUCCCUAGCUAAGGGGAAGGUGAGGAAAGAGAAACACCAGAACUGGAGAGUGCCCUAACUCCACAAUUGACUAGGUAAUAUUUAAAGCAAUAUUUAGGACAACAGGCUAGUGAUGGUCCCAUACUGGUCAUCUGCUUUGUAACUAACACUUUAUUAGAACUAUAGCCAGGAGAACAGUUUGAAGCCAGUCUGUACCACAUAGAGAGUUCAGGGCCAGCCUGAACUAAAAUACAACACCCUGUAUCAAAAAGACAAACAACAAUCAAAACAAAAUAAAAUGUUGCUUUAAUACCCUUUGGAUUAAUACUCUGAGUUCUUUAGAGGGCUCCAUUU